rnacentral:hammerhead_ribozyme from 1 species
AUUUAGCUGACGAGUCCCACAAAGGACGAAACGCGCAUUCAGGAU